ACGGUUCCUAAUGUAUUGACAUUUUACUUCAAACUAUUCUGAAGCCUUAAAGACAAAUCAGUCUCUUCCUCAUACCUUCUCUUCUUCCUUGUACUUCCCUGAUUCAUCGCUAGAAUCCUCGCCGCCAGCGAGCCGAACCAACGCCAAUCACCACCAAAUUCACAACACAACUUCCCUUUCUCCUCCUCCGUCUAAAUCCCCUGACCUUUUCCUUCGAAUGAUGCUCGAACCCCUCCAAUCUUCGAUUGAAGGUUUUCCGGCCAAAAUACUACUUCAUCCAAAUCCCUCCAAAUCAACACCAUAGAAUCUCCUCACCACCCCCAUCCCAAACCACCAAACAGCUUUCUUCGAAUCCCUCUGUAAAUCCUCGCAUUUGGAUUCAAAAAAUUUUCUUCCAAGACCCUAAAUGCCCCAAACUCAUGCAGUUAACGCCAUAGGGUCUAUAGGCUUCACUCAUGAAGAAUUCAUCAUCAGCAGGGUCCAAAUGUCACUAGAAAUGGCCAAAUGGGUAAAUUGUGAUUGAUCGGAGUUCUUUAUUAGUGAGUUUCUUUUCUUUUCUAUUUUUUUUUAGUUUUGUUUCUUUUAGUUUGAUUCACGCCUUUGGUUAUGCAUGAAUACACUUGAUAAUCUAGUUUAAAAACAGAUUAAUUUAGUUUUUAUUUAUAUAUAUUCGUUCCAUUCUCCGUGUUGCGUGUUUUGGCAGUUAUUUCUGUGUUAUUUUAAUUUCGAAUUCGUAGCUUAGACUGGGUAUAGUUAAUUGUGGAUAAAUAAUGGUUUGGAUAUAACAAUGUUAGUCUUUACUUUGAUAAUUUAAAUUUGUUUAUUGGCCUUAUUAUGUUAGUUUUGGUUAGGUUUCCUUGAUAGUUUGUGUUGGUAAUUAAUUAUAAAUUCACUAACUGGGCUUCAUAAGAAUUAAUUUGGGAUUGUUAUUCAAUAAAUGAUAAUCAAGUGUAGGGACUUGUCUAGUUAUAAUUGUAGUUUUAAUUUAAACAUAAGGGUAGUUUAGUCCUUUUGGGUAGGAAAUCUUACAAGCAGGCAAUUAAGAACACCCAAGAAUGUUCUAGAAUAUGAGUUUAGUUGUAAUUUCAGGAAGUUAGGAUACUUACUUGGGCAACAAGUCUUGAAAUAGGGGACAUGUAAGCAAAAAGGAAAAUUAAAAAGGAACUAGGAAUGAAAACAGAAAAAUCAGGGGAUGCCCUCAUGUGUACCUAUAAAAGGGCAUAUCCUUUACUUCAUUAACGAGUUUUUUGGACUCUCUAAAAUCCCCACACGCUCUUACAAGUAUUCAUCUGCCCAAAGUUUGAAUUGCAAAUUCAAAACUUCUCUUAGAUCUGAUUCUCCUCCAAAAGCCAAAAAAUAAUAACAACAAAAAACCCAAAAAUCUACUAUUACAUUGAGGUUUUAGACUGAUCACAAGGCUAGAUUGGUCCAAGUUUAAAUUUCAAGGUGUGAAGGAGUUAUUUCAAGAUUUUGGUUUGUUUCUGGUGAUUGAAGCUUCAGAAAUCUGCUAGGAUUUAUUUUGAGUGGGUUUUUGUUUCAAUUGAGUUAUUUCAGAGUCGUUUUGAUGUUGUUCCUCUGUUACACAAUCUUGGGUUAAAAUUGCUACUGUUAUUUGCUUUGUUAACUGCUUGAUCUACUGCUGAUCUCAUAUCUUCUUUUUGAAAUUCAGUUUCCAGUACACACCUUGGGUCUGAUUUGAUGCAGCCUUUCAAAUUGAAAAAUGAAAUGGAAACACUCGCGUAUUUGCUCCUUAGAUUGUGCUUGUUAGACUGUUACAUGUUAAUAUUUAACAGAUUUUAGACAUUGUUCAAUUUUUGAUCUGUGUGUAUAAACCUGGAUUGUAUAAUUGGACUCAAUAUCUGGACUAUAUCAUUCGUGAACUGGUCUUCAUGCACGCAUUUAACACUUGGAUGUUGUAGCUGAGUAAUACUUUUGUAGGUGUUCAAUUGUUCUCGUUGUUAGUAUAAUUCAUAUAGUGUAAUUUGGAUGUUCCGUUGUAGCUGUAGUACUCUUGUACUUAGCUUCAUAACAGUUGUAGUGGUUGUUAGAAUUUUAAUAUUGAGAAUGGGGUACUUAGCAAUUAUUCGCAUAGGUUUCGAUGACAUGCCAGAAAUAAGCUUUGACUGCACCAGUUUUAGUAUAUGAAUCCACAUCCAGGCCUGAAACACAAAUCUAAAAUCAGUGUUGAAUCAUCCAUUUGUUUGAAACGAUCUUACAUUGGUCAUGUUGGUCAUUUAUUUGGGCUUGCUGUUAAACUUUCGGAAAAAUGUAGCACUCUGUGGAUCUAAUUGCCUGUCUACAGUUUUGGGCUAGUCAUUGACGCCCAACAGGAUUGCUAGAAGUGGAAAAUAUUCUAAGACCAUUAGGAAUAAUGUCGUAAUUAAUUUAGGUAUUGUGUUAGGUAGCGGGUCAAAACUAAAAGGUCCUUCCUCUUGUUUAGGCUCGGACUUGAACUUUAAACC
rnacentral:lncRNA from 1 species